GAUGUCGCGCCCUCUGGCGGCUGGGAGGAGGGACCGACUUUACCAAACGGUGAGAAGGAACAGGGAAGUCCAUUGGUUGAAAGACGGAGAGGCGCAGCUCAGUCUUCCAACCUCAACCAAUGUUAAACCGAACCUUCGCCGAGGGCGGGGCUCUCACGGGAAAGGGGUCAACCCGGGACUGAGGCGGCGUGGGAAGCGGGCGACCUUAUCUCUGCUCAGCUGGAAAAAGGCCCAGGGUAACACCGGAAGUGGGCUUAUUUGCGCAUCAGCUACUUUCGCUUCUACUUAAAAACGGAGGAUCUGGGUAAAAGAACCGAAAGGCUGUACGAACCUAAGACUUGUCUCCGAUGUCCUUCUCAACCAUCAAUUUCAUAUGCGAGGGAAAACACCUGCUGGGUUCACGCAGAAUAUAAAGGUCUUUGAAAUAAUUCUUGAUCUCUAGGCCAAGGAGUUUUACAUUUUAAAAUAAUCAAGCGUGCCUACUGCUUGCCAGGCCCUGCUCUCGCCUUCACUCGCAUUAUUCAAUUAAUCGACACAGGCCUGUGCAGUGCGUCUUAAUGACAAGGACUCCUACCCUCCACUGCCUGUGUUGGAAUCCUGGUUCUGCCAGUUAUUAGCUGUGUAUCCUGG
rnacentral:lncRNA from 10 species